AUUGAACGCUGGCGGCAUGCCUUACACAUGCAAGUCGAACGCGAAAGGGGGGCAACCCCCGAGUAGAGUGGCGGACGGGUGAGUAAUACAUCGGAACGUACCCAGUAGUGGGGGACAACCUCGAGAAAUCGAGGCUAAUACCGCAUACGACCUACGGGUGAAAGCGGGGGACCGCAAGGCCUCGCGCUAUUGGAGCGGCCGAUGUCCGAUUAGCUAGUUGGUAGGGUAAAAGCCUACCAAGGCGACGAUCGGUAGCUGGUCUGAGAGGUCGACCAGCCACCCUGGGACUGAGACACGGCCCAGACUCCUACGGGAGGCAGCAGUGGGGAAUUUUGGACAAUGGGGGCAACCCUGAUUCAGCCAUGCCGCGUGCGGGAAGAAGGCCUUCGGGUUGUAAACCGCUUUCGGCCGGAACGAAAUCGCCGGGGAGAGCAUCCCCGGUGGAUGACGGUACCGGAAGAAGAAGCACCGGCUAACUACGUGCCAGCCGCCGCAGUAAAAC
rnacentral:rRNA from 1 species